rnacentral:rRNA from 1 species
CCUACGGGAGGCAGCAGUGAGGGAUAUUGGUCAAUGGGGGAAACCCUGAACCAGCAACGCCGCGUGAGGGAAGACGGUUUUCGGAUUGUAAACCUCUGUCCUCUGUGAAGAUAAUGACGGUAGCAGAGGAGGAAGCUCCGGCUAACUACGUGCCAGCAGCCGCGGUAAUACGUAGGGAGCAAGCGUUGUCCGGAUUUACUGGGUGUAAAGGGUGCGUAGGCGGCCCUGCAAGUCAGAAGUGAAAUCCAUGGGCUUAACCCGUGAACUGCUUUUGAAACUGUAGGGCUUGAGUGAAGUAGAGGCAGGCGGAAUUCCCGGUGUAGCGGUGAAAUGCGUAGAGAUCGGGAGGAACACCAGUGGCGAAGGCGGCCUGCUGGGCUUUAACUGACGCUGAAGCACGAAAGCGUGGGUAGCAAACAGGAUUAGAUACCCCAGUAGUC